AGUGAACGCUGGCGGUAGGCCUAACACAUGCAAGUCGAACGGCAGCACAGUAAGAGCUUGCUCUUACGGGUGGCGAGUGGCGGACGGGUGAGGAAUACAUCGGAAUCUACUUUUUCGUGGGGGAUAACGUAGGGAAACUUACGCUAAUACCGCAUACGACCUACGGGUGAAAGCAGGGGAUCUUCGGACCUUGCGCGAUUGAAUGAGCCGAUGUCGGAUUAGCUAGUUGGCGGGGUAAAGGCCCACCAAGGCGACGAUCCGUAGCUGGUCUGAGAGGAUGAUAGGCAAAAAUGGAACUGAGAGACGGGCCAGACCCCUGAGGGAGGCAGCAGUAGGGAAUAUUCGGGAAUGGGGGGAAGCCUGACGGAGCAACGCCGCGUGAGGGAUGAAGGGCUGCGGAGCGUAAAAAUCUCUUAUUAGGGAAGAAAAAAUGGGUACGUAAAUAUGCACGUCGGGAGGGUACCUAAUAAGAAAGCCACGGCGAAAUACGUG
rnacentral:rRNA from 1 species